rnacentral:misc_RNA from 1 species
GUGUAGCAAACAUAAUAUAGUAUACCUCUGCUGACACAGCAUAGAAAAAAUCAAUACAUGGGCACUACUAAUUCCAUUGUACAGGCAUAUUGACAUCAAAGUAAUACAGUUAAAUAUAUAACUCAAAAAUGAACUGUUACUGUUGCACCAGAUUUAACUCCACUUUUAGCAUUUUUUUGCGACUUUCAAUUUCGAGGUUGUCACCUGUGGCAACCAUUAAGGAAUCUCUCUAAAGUAAUAGCAGCUGCUCCUCCUGAUCCUCAAUUAUCUUGGUUACAACACCUAAAGCAAUCGUUCUACCUGAUACCCUCAGAGAUGCCCUUCCAAGAGCUUUGCAACUUGAGAACUCUUGCACACAAACUGGCCCAUGCAAAACAACCUCAAUCACUGCUUGUUGCUUUGAAGUAAGACAGCGAGGUGCCUUCUUUGUCACCUUGCCAGUCUUUGGAUCG